AAAGGUUUCAAACACUACGUGAGUUGUUAUUUAUAUUCACACCCAAGGUGCAUAUUUACAAAUUCAAGAAUCAAAAUAACCUUGAACAAAAUCCCGUGAAAAUGAACAAUAAAUCUAACUUCAUUUAAUUUUCCAAAACAGAAAAUCAGAAAAAGAUAAAUCUGCAGACAUCGCAUUAAGCAUCUUUGCAUCAGAAAUUUCGAGCAUAUUUCAUAUAGCCAAGAAAGUGUAGGUGACCAAAUCCAGUUCAUCUCCACCACCGGACCAACUUUCAAGUCAUAAAGUUCAGCUCAAAACGGAACCUAAGAGAGAGAGAGAGAGUUUAGCUUAAAAAGUCAGUUGAAGAUUACACAUUUCUGCCUCUAAGGAUGUACUUUAAUACCAUAUAAGCACUAAAGAAUGCUAAAUGAUAAAGUUACCAUCAUAUUAUUAUAAAAACUUGAAAGGCAACCUCAAGAUCUUCUUCUACCCUUGGACAAAAGAGGGAUAAAUAAUCCACUCUACAGUUACCUCACAAAAAUCGCAAAAAUAUAGACACAAGGGAAAGGGAUAUUGCAUAUAAAGUUACAUCCCAACAGAAGAGCAGGCUUAAACCUCCCAAUACUAGUGAAAUCAGCAACUUAAGGAACACCCCAAGUCUACCCUGCCGAAACAACUAAAUAGGAGUAUAGAUACACCCAAAUGAGAUACAAAAAAGAACGUAGAAAAAACCAAGGCCGAACAUAGAAAACCACACUGAAAUUUGAGGUUUAAGUAAGUUGCCAAGAAAACUACAAACUCACUCUAUAGAUUAAUCAAAAACCUAAAACUCUUCAGGGAGCAAAACUUCAGACAUCUUUUUACCACCGGAAUGCCAAGCACAAUUUUUGCACUGACACUGAAAGCAGAAACAAAGCCAUUAGUCAGAGACAGUCCACACCACAGUGCCCAAACCUACUAAACGAAUUUGCUUACAGAAGAACAAAACAGAAAUAGGAAGCAAAAUCAGCACAAAGAGUUUCACUCCAAACUUGAGAAGUCACACCCACAGAUCUAUAUACAAAACACCCGAGAAUCUACACAACAGCAGAGAAAUCCUACAAUUGCAGCUCUUUGUUAGGAGGAAUAGUAACUUAACUAACCAACUUCCAAAUUCCCAAAAGAUUGACCAACAAAUACCACAAUUGUCAAAUAACCAUAAAUCUUACUUCCAGAUUCCCAAUAGAUUGACCUACAAAUACAAUAUCCAACUUGUAUCACUCAGUCAAAAUCCAAAAUCAUAAUCAAUAUACAAUAUCCAAACUGUAAGAUUCAUCAAGGAAAACCGAAGCAAAGAUAAAGAGAACCUCUGACAGAAGGCCCCUGCACCAAUCUGCUUGCCAAAUCCUUCAUAAAUGUCUUAUAUCUUUCAACUCCAAACCAAUAACCACAAACAGCAUCCAUAAUAAUUAUCUGACCCCAAAAUGUUGACAAAUCAGAGAAAUGCGAACCUUCUAAACACCUGUUCGCAACUGCUGCCAGAUAUUCCUUAUCCUUCUUCAAAUGACUUCAAACACAACAUCUACAAUGAUAAAUUAGCAUGCUCACACCAUACCUACUAAGAGCUCUAAAGCUGAAAUCUACAGAAAAAAUUACAACGUAAAGACAGAGAAAGUCUCAAAAAUCUUUGCUGAGUACAGGAUUUCCAGACCCUGAUCAUAGAAUGCCUCAUAAGUAAUAGCAAGAAGUUCAAAAAAUAUUAAAUACCAAUAGGAAUCCGCCUUAGAACUCCACCAAGCAAAAGUUCAACUCACCAAAUCCCUAAGAACAAAAUAAGCACCAACACUAACAUUAAAACAGAUAUGAAUACAAAUAUUACAAGGAAAAGAAAAUGAAGAAGCUAAAAGUGAAAAGUCCUGCAAAAACCACAAUGACCAGAGCAAGAAAGGUAGACUAAUAUAUUAAUACAGUUAGCAAUACAGAACUUGAUCUUCUCUGGUUCUCUCCCCUACUUCUAUUUCACCCUCGUUUUCCCUUGUUCCUCCCUAUUUGCUUCUGUCUAUUGCUGAUCUUCCCUCUAAAUUUCUAUUUUCUAUUUCCUUCCCCUACUGGUUCUUACAUCAAAAUAUAACAGAACUUGAAACUCUGUAAUAAAAGCCAAAAGCAGGUUCUCAACACAUACCACUCUUAGAACUACACGCACACAAACAUAAAAGAAAAGUAAUGUUCAAAAUUGAUCACUGCCUGUCAAACAUCGAGAUAAAAACCUGUUUUUGAAUUAUUAAGUAAAGAUGCUACCUACAAUCAUAAAACCAUUCAUAUAGAUAUCAAUCACAACAAGAAGAAAGUGUCCUCAGAACUGUGCCAGCUAGAAAGAACAUCUGCAUUCUACUGAAACUAGCUAGUGUAUAUAGAAAUGACAUCAGAACGUGAAACUACCACAAAAACCAGCUCUUACUUAGAGUUUAGGGUAAAUGUAAAUGUAACCCGAUAGAAUUGAAAUGGCCAUCCUCCCCUCCUCAUCUACUUACCUAAUCCCUCCAUCCCAAGUUCAUCAACAAAGAUACAAGCAUAUAAGAUCUCAUUCUCCCUGCGUAAUGCUAAUAAUCCCUAACAGCAGCCUCUGAAGACCCAAGAAUCAAGAACACGUAUGGGCAAAAAAAAGCAACCAAAAGCAACAUAUGGCUUGAAAACCUAAGAACUACAAAAACUCAGACACAAAGAAUACAAAAUAUGAAGAACAUUUGACAAAACAACCCUCUUGCAACAGCUGUGCAAUAUCCUUCAUCCUUUCUCCUUUUAGUUUUGAAAAAUGAUAACAUCAACAUCUAAAAUAAUAAAGGGUUAAUAACAUCUUAUCAUGCUCAGUAACGUAACUCCACAGGAUCCUAAAAUCUCCAAAACGAAAGACUACAAAUAAAUACAAUAAGAAGGAAACAAAUCUCAUUGAGGGUUGAAAUAGUAUUCUAAAUUCAAAAAUCCAAGAGACCCCUUAUCAAACACAACCAUAAAAGAUAUUGAAAGCAUUAAAAACUAAGAGGCCCUGAAACAAGGGUGGAAAAGUAUCAAAAAAUAACAGACAACAUAUAUAACCGUAGUAUAAAUUGUGCUAUGUGCUGAAGGUAGGAUCUAAAAUAAUAAAAGGGUCAAUAAUGCUCAGUAACAUAACUCCACAGAAUCCUAAAAGCUCCAAAACAAAAGACAGUAAAGAUAUACGAUAAGAACCAUGAAGAAGAUCUCCUUGAGAGUUGAGACAGUAUUCCAAAAUUGAAAAUCCAACAGACCCUGAUCAAACAAAACCAUAAAAGAAAUCUUGAAAAAAACUAUAUAAAUACAAUUUCUAGCAACAUACUUCAUUUCUGCUACUUAGACAUACAAAAACUAUCAACUUUCAUAACUAUGCAAAGAUCGAAAUCGGAUACUGAGAACCAAAUGGAAAACAAAACCUCAACUGACAGAACUUGUAAACUCUGCGUGGAUCUCUCCAACCUACAAACACAAACAAAUCUGAAAAGAAUAUAAAUCCCACAAUAAGAACUCAGUCGGACAUUUAUACGAACCAGUUAAAAGUACACGUCAAAAAUCCAAGAAAUGAAAGCACAACUGACAUAUAAAUUUGUGGCAGAGCUUGAAUGACCAGAAAAGUAUCAGCUACCUACAAUCACAGAGGGGCAGAUAUAGAUAUCAAUCACAAACACAAGAAAAAUAUCUGCAUAAAAUUCCUGUCUCAACUAGCAAGGACAUUCACAAUCUUUCGAAACUAGCAAGUGAUCACCGGAAUAUUUCCAAACCUAUAAAAACUAUCACACACACCUGUAGUUACGUCCACAUUCUGACACUAGCAUGCGACCACUCGAAUCUUUCAAAACCUGCACAACAACCAUACCAACUACUUAUCUCAUGUUUUAAGCAAAUGAUAGGUCAAUGCAAGACAAACAUUUAAGUGGUCUUCUAUUAUCGCUUCAUCUACUCACCAAUCCCUCCCUCCAGAGCUCCAUCCUCUAAGAUAUGAGAUAACAAUCUCAUUCUCCCACAGAAUGCAAAAUUGCUAAUAGUUCUUAAGAGCAGCUGCUGACCCAAAAACCAUAAUAGGAAAUUUCAAUACCUAAACAACAAGAAAAGAAAAAUUGUUAAGAAACUUAUCGGAUGACUUAACCCAUCUCAGCACAUAAAGAGGAUGGCGUAACCCAACUCAUCUCAGCACAUAAAGAGGAUGACUUAACCAACCUCUGCACAUUAAGAGUAACAACAUCUCGACAUUAUAAACUUCUGCAUUAUGAAAAUCCCAAAAGAAACACAACAAAAUUAAAAACCAUCUAUUGAUAUGAAAAACAGAUCUAAUCAAAAGCCUCAAAUCCAAGUAUUUUUGAGAGAUAUGAAGAACCAGGAAGCAAAUCUCCUUGAAAGUUGAGAUAGAAAUCCAAACCAAUGGAAAACUUAAAAACCAAGAGAUCCAAAGAAAGAGUAGAAUAAAAUUGUAUAAUCAGUGUAGACUUUUGUCUUAUGUGCUGAAGGUAGAAUUUCCAAGAUUGCUGUUGUCAACAACCUAUGAAAACCAUGUGUCAAGCCCAAAAACAAGAGAAAGAAAUGGUGAAAUGAAAACAAAAGCUACAAAUAACAAAAAUCUUCUACUUUUUGGGAAAGAAAUUGAAAAAAAAAAAAAGGAAGCCGAUAGUGAAGAUCCUACAAAAAAUGAAAAAGAACAAGAAGAAAAAGAAGACUUAACCACCAGACAUAAAAGCCAUUAAGCAAGAUGACGGUCACACAAAAUUUCACCCAUUUGAAGUCCUUAAUGGCCACAUCUUCCACAUGUUUAUCUUGUACCAAUGCAAUUAAAAUAUUACCAAAAUAAAGAAAAAAAAUGUGAGUAAAAUUUCUAACAAGCUUCAUGUCUGCUGCCUAUACUUUAAAAAACUAUCUACCUUCAAAGCAAUAAUGCAAAUCAGAUAUUAAAACCAAGCAAAAGCAAAAUCCUUCAUCCUUAUAAUUCUUAAAAUUGAUAUCCCCAAGCAGCAUCUUAAAAAUAAAGGGGUCAAAAAGUCAUAUCAUGCUCAGUACCAAAAUGGAGGUCGAACAAAAAUUUCAAACCUUCGGAAAAACCCUAUUCCAACUGCUGCAAGAUCCUUAUCCCUUGUCCUUUUAAUUCUGGAGAUUGAACCCCAAACAACAUUUGAAUAAUAACAGGGUCAAAAGUCAUAUCAUGCACAGUACUAAUAGAAGAGCCUCCAAAAUCAAAUUAGAGAGAUAUGAAGAACUGGAAAGCAAAAUCUCCAUGAAAGUUGAGACAGAAAAGUCUUAUACCAUCUCCUCAUCUCUUUCAAACUGCAUUCACGAAUAAAUACUAAUAAUCUUUCAUCUCCUGAAAACAGAUAACACAAAGGCCAAACAACUUAUUUUUCUUAAAAAAAAAAAAAGCUGAACAAAAAUCCAACAGCAAAAAAUGAAGACUUGUCCAUUUUUUCCAUCAGGAUGGCCAGCCAAUGAACCACUAUACAUAAUAGCCAACACCACGCAAACAGAUAUUAAGGACAAGUUUUCAAAAAAGAAGAUGAAGGUCAAACAAAAGCUCAACCAUUGUGAAGAACUUAAUGGGCCACAUCUUCCACACAUUUACCUUGUGCCAACUAAAUUAGAUAGAACAUGCUCUAACAUUGAAAAAAUUAAAAUUAAUAAAAUUUUAACAACUAUCCAAAGAUCUGAAUCAGAUACUAAGAACCAAAGAGAAAAACAAAAUUUCAACUGACACAACUUGUAAACUCUGCAUGGAUCUCUCCAACCUACAAAACAAACAAAUCCCAACAGAAUAUAAUUCCCGCACUAAAAAUUCAAACCACAAAAAAUUAGCAUAUAACAUCAACAACCAACCUAUCAUAUAAAGGCCUGCAUCUUUUUCAGUUACAUGAAUGAAAUCCAUUUGAUUUGAAAUUCUCUAACAUGUUUCAGACAUUUAUAUAAACUAGUUAAAAGUAGACCUCAAAAAUCCUAGAAAUGAAAGCACAACUGACAUGUAAAUUAGUGGCAGAGCUUGAAAAACCAGAAAAGUAUCUGCUAACUACAAUCAGAGGACACAUAGAUAUUGAUCACAAACACAAGAAAAAUGUCUGCAUAAAAUAACUACCCCAACUAACAAGGACAUUUGCAAUCUUUAAAAACUAGCAAGUGAUCACCGCAAUCUCUCCAAACGUAUAGAACCACCACACAAACCUGUACUUCUCUUGAGUUAUUUAGGCAAAUUUCAGGUAAAUGUAAGAAAGUUAAAUUUAAAGUGAUAACAGAGCUAAUAAUUUCUUGCUACAUCCCAAAGAGAUAACAGAGCUACAUAAGAUCUCAUUCUCCCUGCAUAUUGCUAAUAAUUUCUAACAGCAGCCUCUAGAGACCCCAGAAUCAAGAACUAAGCGCAGAAAGCAAACAGAAAGCAAUAUAAUACACAAAAAACUAGAAAAAUAUGAAGUCCUAAAACAAAAAAUAAAAGAAGUGCAUGAAAAACAUCUAAGAAAUAACACCCCCAUUCCAUCUGCAGCAAGAUCCUUCAUCCUUCAUCCUUGCCCUUCCUGCUGUAAAUUUUGGAAACAGAUAACACAUCAGCACCUAAAAUAAUAAAGGGUCAAAAAGUCAUAUAAUGCUCAGUGACAUUAGCUACAGAGGAUUCUAAAAACUCUAAAACUAAAGAUUUUUUAGUGAUACGAUAAUAACCAGGAAGCAAACUUCCUUGAGAGUUGAGGCAGGAUUCCAAAGUUGAAAAUGCAAGAGACCCUCAACAAACAAACCAUAAAUAGAUAUUGGAAGCAAAAAAUUCCAAGAGGUCCUAAAGAUCAUAAUCCAAAACAAUGAAACAAUUUAAAUAUGCAUUAGUCAAUAGAACUUCAAAAGCAAGAAAAAUAUCUGCAGCUGCCUACAAUCACAAAAUACAUAUCACUUUAAAAUUCCAAGCACACAAACAUGAGAAAAAUGUCUGCAUAUAAGAUUACAACCCCAACUAGCAAGCGACGUCCACAAUUUCUUGACACUAGCAAGUGAACACUAGAAUCCUUCAAAACCUGUACAACCACCACACAAGCCGUACUUAUCUCAAGUUUUAAGCAAACAAUAAAUUGAUGUAAGCCAGACAUUUAAAUGGUCACCUCUUAUCACUUAAUCUACUCACCAAUCCCUCCCUCCAAAGCUCCAUCUACAAAGAUAUGAGCCCUGCAUGUUGCUAAUAAUUUCUAACAGCAGCCUCUGGAGACCCAAGAAUUCUAAUACAACUCCAAAGUGAAAAUCUGACAGAAAAGAAACCAAUAAAAAAAAAAAGAACAAGAAGAAAAAGUAGAACUAUGAAAAACCUUCAUCCAUGUCCUUCACAAUAAUUCUGGAAAUUGAGCUAAAUAAUAAAAGGAUCAAAAAGUCUUAUCAAGCUCACUACCAACACAUGGUCCACUAAAACCAAGAAUUUUUUAGGAUUACAGUGGCUAUCACUAUUCACGACAGGGAAGGAGAAACAUUCCUAGUAAUAGAGGCGAUCAUGGCCGUGAAGAAGUUCAAGGAUCAGCACUUUAGAAAAGCAAAGCCAGCAAUAUCACUGCAGGCAGAAACCAUAUAUUGAAGUAUCUUCCAAAGUACUGAAACAAAACAAGAAAUAUAGAGCUCGUAAUAAAGGAAGGGAACACAAAAGAACCAUCUGUCCAUCCACACAACAUAUUUAACUGAAAAGAGAGCCAAUACUCAUUAUGUUCAAAAUUGAAUGGUAACCAAAACUUUUGCGAAAACCUUGAGAAGAAUAAAUAUCAAAACAGAUCAAUUUAAUAAGAUCUCAAUAAAAAUAUAGAGUUGGGCAAUCACAGCCAUGAGAAAGUUUAGGAAUCAGCACUUUAGAAAAGGAAAGCCAGCAACAUCACUGCAUGCAGAAACCAUAUAUUUAAAUACAAUAAAGAACCAGGAAGCAAUCUCCUUAUGAGUUAUUCCAAAACUGGAAAUCCAAGAGACCUGAUCAAACAAAACCAUAAAAGAUACUGAAAGCAUUAAAAACUAAGAGGCCCUGAAACAAGGGUGGAAAAAUAUUUUUAAAAAAACAUAUGUAACCAUAUUAUAAAUUCAGUGUUAUGUGCUGAAGGUAGAAUCUAAAAUAAAAAUAGAGUCAACAAACUCAUAUCACACUCAGUAACAUAACUCCACAAGAUCCUAAAAGCUUGAAAACAAAAGACUAUAAAGAAAUACAAUAAGAACCAGGAAGCAAAUCUCCUGGAGAGUUGAAACAGUAUUCCAAAAUUGAAAAUCCAAGAAAGCCUGAUCAAACAAAACCGUAAAAGAUACUAAAAGCAUUAAAAACUAAAAUAGGCCCUGAAACAAGGAUGGAAAAAUAUUAAAAAAAAAAAACAUACGUAACCAUAUGUACUCAAGGUAGAAUCUCCACAACUGAAGUUGUUACUGACAGCCUAUGAAAACAAAGAGUCAAUAUAAACCAAAAAACAAGUAAAAAAAUAGUAACCGAAAAACAAAUUACACGAAGGCCAAACAAUUUUUCAUUUGAAUAAAAUCUGAAAGUUAAAGAUCCUGCAACAGUUAAAAACAAUCCAAUAGCAAGAAAUGAAGACUUAUCAAUUUUCUCCAUCAGGAUGGCCAGCCAACGAACCACUGCAAAUGAAAGCCAACAUCACACGAACAGAUAUUAAAGACAAGUUUUCAAAAAAGAAGAUGAAGGUCAAACAAAAGCUCAACCAAUUUGAAGUCCUGAAUGGGCCACAUCUUCCACACAUUUACCUUGUACCAACUAAAUUAGUAAGAACAUGCUCUAACAUUAAAAAAAGUAAUAUAAAUAAAAUUUCUAACAACAUGCUUCAUUUCUGUUGCCUAGACUUUAAAAGAAAAAUCAAGUUCCAAACUAUCCAAAUACCCGAAUCAGACACUAAGAACCACAAGAAAAGAAAAAUCUCAAUUGACAGAACAUGUAGACUCUAAUGAAUCUCUCCAACCUACAAACACAAACAGAUCCCAACAGAAUAUAAAUCCUGCAAUAAGAACUCAAACUCAGAACAAAAAAAAAAUUGAAAGAAGACCAUUCAAUUUGAAAUCCUAUGGCAUCUUUUCAGUUAAAUGAAAUCCAUCCAAUUUGAAAUCCUAUCAGACAUUUAUACAAACCAGUUAAAGGAAGACCUCAAAUAUCCAAGAAGUGAAAGCACAAAUGACAUAUAAGCCAGUGGCAGAGCUUGAAAAACCAGAAAAGCAUCUUCCGCAAACUACAAUCACAGAUGCACACGUAUAGCUAUCAAUCACAAACACAGGAAAAAUGGCUGCAUAAAAUCACUGUCCCAACUAGCAAGGACAUUCACAAUCUUUUGAAACUAGCAAGUGAUCACCGGAAUCUUUCCAAACCAAAAAACCUACCACACAAACCUUCAGGACAAUCACAAUCUUUCAAAACUAGCAAGUAAUCACUGGAAUCUUUCCAAACCGAUAAAACUACCACACAAACCUGUAGUUCUCUGGAGCUAUUCAAGCAAAUUUUGGGUAAAUGUGAGGCAGAGACAAUUAAAAUGGCAAUCUCUCCUCCCCAAGCUCCAUCCACAAAGAGAGACCAGAGCUAUAUAAGAUCUCAUUCUCCCUGCAUAUUGCUAAUUAUUUCAAACAGCAGCAUCUGGAGACACAAGAAUCAAGAACACGUAAGCACAGAAAGCGUUCAAAAAGCAAUAUACCGCAUGAAAAACUAGAAAAAUAAGACGUUCCAAAACAAAGGAUAAAAGAAGUGCAAAACAAUUACGAAAAAAUAACCCCCAUUCCAACUGCCAGCAAGAUCUUUCAUCCUUGCCCUUCCUGCUCUUAAUUUUGGAAGCUGAUAACACAGCAUCUAAAAUAAUGAAGAGAAAAAGAAUCAUAUCAUGCUCAGUGACAUUAACUACACAGGAUCCUAAAAACUCAAAAACUAAAGAAUUUUGAGUGAUACAAUAAGAACCAGGACAGCAAGUCUCCUUGGAGUUGAGGCAUAAAAUUGAAUAUCCAAGAGACCUUGAUCAAACAAAACCAUAAAAAGAUAUUGAAAGGAAAAAAUCCUAGAGGCCCUAAAGUUCACAAUCCAAGACAAUGAAACAUAAUUUCCAUAUGCAUUAGUCAACCGAACUUCAAAAACCAGAAAAUAUCUGUGGCUACCUACAAUCACAAAAUACAUACAGAAUUCCGAGCACAAACAAGAGAAAAAUGUCUGCAUAUAAGAUUAUGACCCCAGCUAGCAAGUGACAUCCACAAUCUUUCGACACUAGCAAGUGACCACUAGAAUCUUUCAAAACCUGACAACAACCAUACAAACCAUACUUUAUCUCAAGUCUUCAAUGUGAGACAAACAAAAAGGGUCAAAAGUUAUAUCAUGCUCGGUACCAAUACAAAAUUCCCCAAAAUCAAGUAGUUUUGAGAGAUACGAAAAACCAGGAAGCAAAAUCUCCUUGAAAUCAGAGUGUAGACUUUCAUCUUAUAUGCUGAUGGUAGAAUUUCAAGAUUGCUGUUGUCAACAACAACCUACAAAAACCAUGUGUCAAGCCAAAAAACAAGAGAAAUUGAUAAACAGAAAAAGGUCGAUAGUGACGAUCCUGCAAAGAAUGAAAAAGAACACAAGAGAAGAAAAUGAAGACUUAAAAAUUUUCCCCAUUAUAGAAUGGCCAGCCAAGAACCACUGCAAAUAAAACCCAUUAUCAAGCAAGAAGGAGGUCCAACAAAAAUCCAACUGCUGCAAGAUCCUUUAUACUCGUCCUUUUAACUAACCCCAAACAGCGUCUGAAUGAAAAAAUAAAGGGUCAAAGGUCGUAUCAGGCUCAAUACCAAUACAUGAUCCUCCAAAAUCAAGUAUUCUUGACAUAUAUGAACGGGAAGCAAACCUCCUUAAAAGUUGAGACAGAAAUCCAAACCAAUGGAAGUCUUUAAAACCAAGAGAUCCAAUCAAUACCUCCUAGACGAACAAUCUAAAUUCACCAACACCAAAUUUAAAUUGAAACAAUCUCAGUGAAAAAUGAAGAUAGGUGGAGAUAUAAAAGUUACAAGACCCCUUACCACCCACAGCUUCCAAAUCUGUCAUCCUUGUCAUUUCUUCUUCAGGCCAUGGCCAUAUACCAUCUCCUUAUCUCUUCUUUCUAACCGCAUUCACAAAAAAAAGUACUAAUAAUCUUUUAUCUCCUGACGUAUUACUAAUUAACUUCAAGAGACAAAAAUUAUUCACAACGUGGAAGGAGAUGCAUUCCUAGUAACAGUGGCGAUCACGGCCGUGAGGAAGUUCAAGGAUAAGGAAAACCGGCAACAACACUGCAGGCAGAAAGCGUAUAUUGAAAUAUCUUCCAAAGUUCCAAACCAAAACAAGAACUAAGAACUUAAGAACCAUCGGUCCAUCCGCACAACAUAAUUAACUGAAAAGAGAGCCAAUACUCAUUUAUGUUAAAAAUUGAACGGUACCCAAACCCGAGAAGAAUAAAUAUCAAAACAAGAUCGCCGUACACUCCAAGAACAAUCUACCUACGAAACACAAAUUCCGAGGUUCAACCGAUUUGUAUUACUAUUUCGUUAAAUCUUAUCAGAAAAAUGCGAAACAGAGUUAAAUGUUCGAUCAUCAUCACAACGGAUCGACGCCAACAGAAUCACCAGAUCACCGUCAACAAUUUACCUACGAAACACAAAAUCCCAGAUUCGGCUGAUUUCAAUCAUGAUAGAUUUAAUUAGAAAGAUCUAAAAACCCAAUUCAACUAUAGCUCCGAACCGAAACCUAAAUGAAUAAACCAGUAGCAAAAGAGAGAAACAAACGCUGCCGGUAAAACUUUAAAAAGCUUAAACGUCAAUCCCGGUUUUUCCCCUAUUCCGUACGGGCAGUAAGUGAGAGCUGAGGAGAUGUAUUUAUAGAAUAAGAGGCUCAAAA
rnacentral:lncRNA from 1 species